UUUAUAAUGCACGCCCUUGUCCUUCAAACGCGCGCACACGCAUGUGCACUUCCAGUGUGACGCCUCUUUCUCUGCGCUCUUGUAUAAUACUUCAGCCUUGAUCAGCCAACCCUGCCUUUUCUUCCACUGAAAAUCCCGGCUCACCGUGACCUGUGACCCAAGUACCCGCUGAUAAGGGCAACGUUUGAAUAACAUAGUUGCUCAAUAAGGCCAUUUUGUUUAAAGUGUUUGGCACACUUUGCCUGGGCUUAUUCAUGGCAGAUGAACAUGUUCCACGGGAGUAGCCAGAACCACCCAAGCCUCAAAAGUCUACAACAUCUCUACCAGUGGUACCAGACCAGCUCAGACUCCAGGGGUUGAGGAAUACGCUGUUUCCCAGGAUCCUGCUCCUGGCUUCUGGCGCCUGAGGAUCAUGUGGCCUGCUGACCCUGGGAGCUGUUAGCACCCUGCACAUUCCUGCCAACUUUG